AUUGAACGCUGGCGGCAGGCCUAACACAUGCAAGUCGAGCGGAUGAAGGGAGCUUGCUCCUGGAUUCAGCGGCGGACGGGUGAGUAAUGCCUAGGAAUCUGCCUGGUAGUGGGGGAUAACGUCCGGAAACGGGCGCUAAUACCGCAUACGUCCUGAGGGAGAAAGUGGGGGAUCUUCGGACCUCACGCUAUCAGAUGAGCCUAGGUCGGAUUAGCUAGUUGGUGGGGUAAAGGCCUACCAAGGCGACGAUCCGUAACUGGUCUGAGAGGAUGAUCAGUCACACUGGAACUGAGACACGGUCCAGACUCCUACGGGAGGCAGCAGUGGGGAAUAUUGGACAACGGGCGAAAGCCUGAUCCAGCCAUGCCGAGUGUGAGAAGAAGGUCUUCGGAUUGUAAAGAACUUUAAGUUGGGAGGAAGGGCAGUAAGUUAAUACCUUGCUGUUUUGACGUUACCAACAGAAUAAGCACCGGCUAACUUCGUG
rnacentral:rRNA from 1 species